rnacentral:lncRNA from 1 species
CACCUCUGCCUUUGGGUUCUUGAUGAACUUCCAACGGCUCAGUGCCUCCUUUGCUCACUCGGGCAUCCUCUGCACGUCCAGCACAGGUCCCCGGGGUCUUCAAAGAGGUUUUCAAGCGUGUAGAAAAAAAUACAGCCCGGUGGCUGGGAUGAAGCACGUGACAACCUUGUGAGAUGAGGAAGGAACUGACUUCCCUCGGCCCUGAUGGGGACACAGGAGCCCUGGGAGCUGACAGCAUUUGUCCAAGGCAGCUGAGUGGGGCAGCCGAGGAUCUCAUCCACUCCCCCAAUUCUGCUGCUGCCAGGAAACAGCACCCAAGGAUCCAGGAUCAGCCUCCAUCCCACCCUCCUCUUGGCAAGGAUCCAGGAUCAGCCUCUAUCCCACCCUCCUCUUGGCAAGUAUCCAGGAUCAGCCUCCAUCCCACCCUCCUCUUNGGGGAAAAAAAAAAAAAAAAAAAAAAAAAAAAAGUGUGAUCAAAUCAGAAAGAGACCCAGGGGUCUCGUCCCAGUGUCUCAGGAGCGCUAACAAAGUCGAAAGCUCUGGUUCCACAAUGCUGUUCAAGCUGGCCUUGGCCUCCAGUGCCCCCUGCACGAGUCCCUCUGAUAACUCACAGUGAAUGUUCUUGUGGGACAGGACUCCAACUUGAGGAGCCGGUGCGAAGCUUGCCAAGUGCAACUUUAGUGCUAGAGCAUUGGUUCCAAUCAAGGUCAUACGGCAGAGCAAGCAAGUGAAGGCACCCGGUCAAGUCCAAAGCUGAAGACCCUGGCUCUCCAGUAAGGCUCUGGAAAACCACAGCUGGGGUGAGGGAGUCUCCUCCAGGCGUGAUGACCUCAGGCUUGCCCUCCUCACCUCUUUCCUCACGAGACCAGUCAGAGAUAAGCCAUUUCCUUUCCUGAAGGCUCCCUAGGGGGUGGGUCCCUCUCACCCCCUGCUCUCCCUUGGCUUUCUCUCAUCCAUCCCAGCAAGCCCCCGGGCUGACCUGGGAGGCACAAGGCCACCAACCCUGGCCACCUUCCCCCACUGCCUCCCUGAGGAGGUGUCAUUCUGAUGCACUAGGCUGCUACCAGAGGAUCGGUGGGUCCCAACCCUUGGAAGGAAUCCUCCGUUUAAUCUUUCUCUUUUGGCUGUGGCAAGUGGAAAUUCCUGGGCCAGGGAUCGAACCUGUGCCACAGCUGUGACACAAGCCACAGCAGUGAUAACGCUGGAUUCUUAACCGGCUGAGCUACCAGGGAACUCCCCUCUGUUUAGCCUUGAUGGGUUAGCUGGCCUGAAAGUAUUACCAAGCACCGUAAAACUUUUUAGCCUUCUCUACUAGUGACUGGUUUUUCUUUGCUCUUCCUCAGAGGAGAAUGGGGAUGGAGAGAGACCAAGACAGAAUGUUCCUGCAGUGACCCUGAGAAGGCCUCUGUGCGCAAAUCUUAAUUUAGGAGAAAAGAGGAAUCUCAUCUCAAAGUUCCUUUUUUUUUUUUUUUU